rnacentral:rRNA from 1 species
AGAGUUUGAUCCUGGCUCAGGAUGAACGCUAGCUACAGGCUUAACACAUGCAAGUCGAGGGGCAGCAUGGUCUUAGCUUGCUAAGGCCGAUGGCGACCGGCGCACGGGUGAGUAACACGUAUCCAACCUGCCGUCUACUCUUGGACAGCCUUCUGAAAGGAAGAUUAAUACAAGAUGGCAUCAUGAGUCCACAUGUUCACAUGAUUAAAGGUAUUCCGGUAGACGAUGGGGAUGCGUUCCAUUAGAUAGUAGGCGGGGUAACGGCCCACCUAGUCUUCGAUGGAUAGGGGUUCUGAGAGGAAGGUCCCCCACAUUGGAACUGAGACACGGUCCAAACUCCUACGGGAGGCAGCAGUGAGGAAUAUUGGUCAAUGGGCGAGAGCCUGAACCAGCCAAGUAGCGUGAAGGAUGACUGCCUUAUGGGUUGUAAACUUCUUUUAUAAAGGAAUAAAGUCGGGUAUGGAUACCCGUUUGCAUGUACUUUAUGAAUAAGGAUCGGCUAACUCCGUGCCAGCAGCCGCGGUAAUACGGAGGAUCCGAGCGUUAUCCGGAUUUAUUGGGUUUAAAGGGAGCGUAGAUGGAUGUNUAAGUCAGUUGUGAAAGUUUGCGGCUCAACCGUAAAAUUGCAGUUGAUACUGGAUAUCUUGAGUGCAGUUGAGGCAGGCGGAAUUCGUGGUGUAGCGGUGAAAUGCUUAGAUAUCACGAAGAACUCCGAUGCGAAGGCAGCCUGCUAAGCUGCAACUGACAUGNAGGCUCGAAAGUGUGGGUAUCAAACAGGAUUAGAUACCCUGGUAGUCCACACGGUAAACGAUGAAUACUCGCUGUUUGCGAUAUACAGCAAGCGGCCAAGCGAAAGCGUUAAGUAUUCCACCUGGGGAGUACGCCGGCAACGGUGAAACUCAAAGGAAUUGACGGGGGCCCGCACAAGCGGAGGAACAUGUGGUUUAAUUCGAUGAUACGCGAGGAACCUUACCCGGGCUUAAAUUGCAGAUGAAUUACGGUGAAAGCCGUAAGCCGCAAGGCAUCUGUGAAGGUGCUGCAUGGUUGUCGUCAGCUCGUGCCGUGAGGUGUCGGCUUAAGUGCCAUAACGAGCGCAACCCUUGUUGUCAGUUACUAACAGGUUCCGCUGAGGACUCUGACAAGACUGCCAUCGUAAGAUGUGAGGAAGGUGGGGAUGACGUCAAAUCAGCACGGCCCUUACGUCCGGGGCUACACACGUGUUACAAUGGGGGGUACAGAGGGCCGCUACCACGCGAGUGGAUGCCAAUCCCAAAAACCUCUCUCAGUUCGGACUGGAGUCUGCAACCCGACUCCACGAAGCUGGAUUCGCUAGUAAUCGCGCAUCAGCCACGGCGCGGUGAAUACGUUCCCGGGCCUUGUACACACCGCCCGUC